rnacentral:rRNA from 1 species
AUUGAACGCUGGCGGCAGGCCUAACACAUGCAAGUCGAACGGUAACAGGAAACAGCUUGCUGUUUCGCUGACGAGUGGCGGACGGGUGAGUAAUGUCUGGGAAACUGCCUGAUGGAGGGGGAUAACUACUGGAAACGGUAGCUAAUACCGCAUAACGUCGCAAGACCAAAGAGGGGGACCUUCGGGCCUCUUGCCAUCGGAUGUGCCCAGAUGGGAUUAGCUAGUAGGUGGGGUAACGGCUCCCCUAGGCGACGAUCCCUAGCUGGUCUGAGAGGAUGACCAGCCACACUGGAACUGAGACACGGUCCAGACUCCUACGGGAGGCAGCAGGGGGGAAUAUUGCUCAAUGGGCGCAAGCCUGAUGCAGCCAUGCCGCGUGUAUGAAGAAGGCCUUCGGGUUGUAAAGUACUUUCAGCGGGGAGGAAGGGAGUAAAGUCAAUACCUUUGCUCAUUGACGUUACCCGCAGAAGAAGCACCGGCUAACUCCGUGCCAGCCGCCGCAGUAA